UAUCCAAGUUGUUGGGUCUUGUUAAAUCCACCCAAAUAAAUAGCCCAAAAAUAUGAAGACCCUUAUAGACAGCCCAAAGUUUCAUUUCAUCAUUAGCGUCUCUCUCUCUGAUCAUCAGUAGGUGGAGAAAUGGAGAUGGAGCAAACGGAGAAGGAGGCGAUAAGAGCGGCUUCAGCUGAGGUUUCUCGUGAAUUCAAAACCCUUAUCAAUGCUGACGAUUUGGACUCCCUCAAGCAAUCGCAGCACCUUAUGAGCAUGAAAUCAAGGAUUUUGGCUACCUAUCCGGAUGCAUUUCCAGAUGAUUUAACAGGAGAAGUAGUUGACAGGAGACUGGACCUUGAAAUUCCUCUGUAACAUUAGUCAGUCUGUUCCCAAAUUGCAGCAUGUAUCUUGGUACCAACGUGGGUUUGAGAGCUUGAGGAAUGAAUCGUAAAAUCAGUUCAUUGAAUGAUUAUUGGGAUUGCUUGAUUAUUUUUCGGUGGAAGUACUUUCUAAGAUGAAUGAACAUAUAAAAGAAAGUUUACCAUCAGAGAUGAAUGAAAUGGAAACCCAAUCUGUCCAACUCUAGAAUGAUGCUUUUGUUUUUUGGUGAAAUCUUUUGUUCUCAUAUUGUUUUGAAGCAA